GUAGUUGGCGGAGUAACAGCCCACCAAGCCAACGAUCAGUAACUGGUGUGAGAGCACGACCAGUCACACGGGCACUGAGACACGGGCCCGACUCCUACGGGAGGCAGCAGUAAGGAAUAUUGGUCAAUGGACGCAAGUCUGAACCAGCCAUGCCGCGUGGAGGAUGAAGGCCCUCUGGGUUGUAAACUUCUUUUAUUUGGGAAGAAACCACUCUUUUCUAAGGGUGUUGACGGUACCAUUUGAAUAAGCACCGGCUAACUCCGUGCCAGCAGCCGCGGUAAUACGGAGGGUGCAAGCGUUAUCCGGAUUCACUGGGUUUAAAGGGUGCGUAGGUGGGCAGGUAAGUCAGUGGUGAAAUCUCUGGGCUUAACCCAGAAACUGCCGUUGAUACUAUCUGUCUUGAAUGUAGUGGAGGUGAGCGGAAUAUGUCAUGUAGCGGUGAAAUGCUUAGAUAUGACAUAGAACACCCAUUGCGAAGGCAGCUCGCUACACUAUUAUUGACACUGAGGCACGAAAGCGUGGGGAUCAAACAGGAUUAGAUACCCUGGUAGUCCACGCCCUAAACGAUGAUUACUCGACAUCGGCGAUACACAGUCGGUGUCUGAGCGAAAGCAUUAAGUAAUCCACCUGGGAAGUACGACCGCAAGGUUGAAACUCAAAGGAAUGGACG
rnacentral:rRNA from 1 species